rnacentral:rRNA from 1 species
UACGUAGGGACCAAGCGUUGUUCGGAUUUACUGGGCGUAAAGGGCGCGUAGGCGGCAUGACAAGUCACUUGUGAAAUCUCCGGGCUUAACUCGGAACGGUCAAGUGAUACUGUCGCGCUAGAGUGCGGAAGGGGCAAUCAGAAUUCUUGGUGUAGCGGUGAAAUGCGUAGAUAUCAAGAGGAACACCUGAGGUGAAGACGGGUUGCUGGGCUGACACUGACGCUGAAGCGCGAAAGCCAGGGGAGCAAACGGG